UACGGAGGGUGCGAGCGUUGUCCGGAUUCAUUGGGCGUAAAGGGUGCGUAGGCGGCGCGGUAAGUCGGGUGUGAAAUCUUGGAGCUUAACUCCGAAACUGCAUUCGAUACUGCCGUGCUUGAGGACUGGAGAGGAGACUGGAAUUUACGGUGUAGCGGUGAAAUGCGUAGAUAUCGGAAGGAACACCAGUGGCGAAAGCGGCUUCCUGGUCCAGCACCGACGUUCAGGCACGAAAGCGUGGGGAGCAAACAGG
rnacentral:rRNA from 1 species